rnacentral:rRNA from 1 species
AGUGAACGCUGGCGGUAGGCCUAACACAUGCAAGUCGAACGGCAGCGCAGUAAGAGCUUGCUCUUACGGGUGGCGAGUGGCGGACGGGUGAGGAAUACAUCGGAAUCUACUUUUUCGUGGGGGAUAACGUAGGGAAACUUACGCUAAUACCGCAUACGACCUACGGGUGAAAGCAGGGGAUCUUCGGACCUUGCGCGAUUGAAUGAGCCGAUGUCGGAUUAGCUAGUUGGCGGGGUAAAGGCCCACCAAGGCGACGAUCCGUAGCUGGUCUGAGAGGAUGAUCAGCCACACUGGAACUGAGACACGGUCCAGACUCCUACGGGAGGCAGCAGUGGGGAAUAUUGGACAAUGGGCGCAAGCCUGAUCCAGCCAUACCGCGUGGGUGAGGAAGGCCUGCGGGUUGUAAAGCCCUUUUGUUGGGAAAGAAAAGCAGCAGGUUAAUACCCCGCUGUUCUGACGGUACCCAAAGAAUAAGCACCGGCUAACUUCGU